CACACACACACACGCACGCACGCACACACACACACAGGUGAAGGAUUGUCUGGAACCCUACGUGGGAUGACUGUUCCAUUCUCCUGCUUGGAGAGCUGAGUGGUGUGAGUGGGUGUGGUGACCGAGUGUCCUCCCUCCUCCCCUGAGACACUACAACACAGACACUACCCUCAACACAUCAACCUCCUGGAGACACUGCUCAAACUGUGCAGUGACAAUAGGCUGGUGCAGUCUUCUGGGGUGGACUGUCUCACCUCACUAUGUAAAACAACACAAUGCAAU